ACCGUGAGGCAUCCCAGGUUUGCAAAUCCUAAGGAGCACCAAUUUACUCCCCAACAGUGCCCUACUAAAAGGGCUAUUAGAGUAUUUUGGUUUAUCAUAAUCAGUUCAUUCUGAUUAUUGCCCACACGCAUUAGCAAGGAAAUUCGUAAGGCAUGACAUGUAACAAGUCACAACCUGGUGGCGAAAACUUGCUGGACCAGAGAACAGCAACAGGGAAGCAGAAGGGAGUGGUGGCAAAGACAAACAGGAGGAUAACGCAAACUAUUGCCACCUGCAUCCGGCUAGACAAACUGGAUGGAGCCGACCUGCAGGUACGUCACCCGCCAAGCUUGCUCUCGGUGAGGUGGGCAGUGUUUACAGCCCUCGACGCCGGCGGUCCUGAUGCAGGGAGGGCCCCAGGUCCUCAGCUGGCCCACCCCACACCAGGGCGCCGUCAGCUGCCACUCACAGCAGGCAGCGCAGCAGCAGUCGCCGGUGACAGGCGUCAGUCCCGGGUCUCGGCGGAUACGCCAGGGUCCUGAGCCUAUCAGGCCUCCAGGGCGGCCGGCGCUGGCUCGGCUGCCUCAGCGGCCG
rnacentral:lncRNA from 1 species